UACGAAGGGGGCUAGCGUUGCUCGGAAUGACUGGGCGUAAAGGGCGCGUAGGCGGAUGGCUUUGUCGGGCGUGAAAUUCCAGGGCUUAACCUUGGGGCUGCGUUCGAGACGGGUUGUCUUGAGUGGGAAGAGGGUCGUGGAAUUCCCAGUGUGAGAGGUGAAAUUCGUAGAUAUUGGGAAGAACACCGGUAGGCGAAGGCGGCGGCCUGGUC
rnacentral:rRNA from 1 species